UACGUAGGGUGCAAGCGUUGUCCGGAAUUAUUGGGCGUAAAGAGCUCGUAGGCGGUCUGUCGCGUCUGCUGUGAAAACUCAGGGCUUAACCCUGAGCUUGCAGUGGGUACGGGCAGACUAGAGUGCGGUAGGGGAGACUGGAAUUCCGUGGUGAUAGCGGUGAAAUGCGCAGAUAUCAGGAGGAACACCGGUGGCGAAGGCGGGUCUC
rnacentral:rRNA from 1 species